AGUUUUCUUUAUUGGGGUUGCGGACAUAUCAUAACGAAGAGAUAUCGUAAUUGAAGAGGUUUGGAAAGACCCACCACAGAAGGUAAUAGUCCUGUAUGUUAAACGAGAAGACUUUAGAUAUGAUCCAAAGUACCACGGGACACGUGAAACCCUGUGGGAAGCAGGAGGGACCACCCUCCAAGGCUAAAUACUACCUAGUGACCGAUAGCGUAUAGUACCGUGAGGGAAAGGUGAAAAGAACCCCGGGAGGGGAGUGAAAUAGAACCUGAAACCCUGCACUUACAAGCUGUGGAAGCACAUUUCUUGUGUGACCGCGUACUUUUUGUAGAACGGGCCAACGAGUUACGUUAAGUAGCAAGGUUAAGCACUUAAGGUGUGGAGCCGUAGCGAAAGCGAGUUUUAACUGAGCGUUCAGUUACUUGACGUAGACCCGAAACCGGGCGACCUACCCAUGAGCAGGAUGAAGCGAAAGUAAAAUUUCGUGGAGGUCCGAACCCACGAGCG
rnacentral:rRNA from 1 species